rnacentral:rRNA from 1 species
UAAGGAAUAUUGCGCAAUGGGGGAAACCCUGACGCAGCGACGCCGCGUGUGGGAUGAAGGUCUUCGGAUUGUAAACCACUGUCGCGAGGGACGAAGCUCUGACGGUACCUCGAAAGGAAGCACCGGCUAACUCUGUGCCAGCAGCCGCGGUAAUACAGAGGGUGCGAGCGUUGUCCGGAAUCACUGGGCGUAAAGGGCGCGUAGGCGGCCCGGUAAGUAGGGGGUGAAAUCUCAUGGCUCAACUGUGAGGCUGCCUUCUAGACUGCCAGGCUUGAGCACAGUAGAGGCGAGUGGAAUUCCCGGUGUAGCGGUGGAAUGCGUAGAGAUCGGGAAGAACAUCGGUGGCGAAGGCGGCUCGCUGGGCUGUUGCUGACGCUGAGGCGCGAAAGCGUGGGGAGCAAACAGGAUUAGAUACCCGCGUAGUCCCUGAGCGGGCUGGCAAGGCGCAU